rnacentral:rRNA from 1 species
CAGUCGCCGCGGGAAUACGUAGGGUGCGAGCGUUAAUCGGAAUUACUGGGCGUAAAGCGUGCGCAGGCGGUUUUGUAAGACAGGCGUGAAAUCCCCGGGCUCAACCUGGGAAUGGCGCUUGUGACUGCAAAGCUAGAGUGCGGCAGAGGGGGAUGGAAUUCCGCGUGUAGCAGUGAAAUGCGUAGAUAUGCGGAGGAACACCGAUGGCGAAGGCAAUCCCCUGGGCCUGCACUGACGCUCAUGCACGAAAGCGUGGGGAGCGAACAGGAUUAGAUACCCCCGUAGUCCCUGUCUCUUAUAC